UUUUUCACUCAGAGUGAAGGCGAUCUAAAACCCUGCAAAUAAAAUAAAACUAUGCAGUCAGAAGCUGAAGCCGUCACGUAAUGUUAAGGAGCAAAAGGUUAAAUAUUUCCCUCAAAUGUCGGGGGUAGGGAAAAUUAAUUCAAAGAAACGUAUUAUGGCCUUCAUUUAACCGACCAAUAAAUCAUCAUGGUGUGUCUGAGUGGCAGUCAGUGACAGAUAUGUUUUUCAGUCAUUCAAAGUAGAAGAAAUCUGGACCACAAACUGGUUUGUUUCUGCUUUUAUAAUCCACAAAAAAAUAAGGAGGAAACGUCACUCACAGCACAAAACAUGCAGCAAACACCAAACGGAUAAAUAAUAACAAAGGUACAUGGACAUAAAAGUUUGAAAGACAUCCAAUACAUCAGAACAAGGACACCAUGUGAAACAGAGUAACUGAAGAAGAAUAAAGGAUAGAGAGAUAUGACUGAUAAAACAGAUAAAAUAAUGUAAUUAUUGGUUAUUAAAGAAAAAGGUUAUAUUAUAGGUGAUCUCUCUCUACAAUGUGAUGAAUUUAGACUGCAGUACCCAUUUUAAACCCUUGGUGUAAGAGUUACAUAUUGCUGCUUUAAUGAAACAUGUUAUUCUUCAAUUAAUCAGGCAAUCCAAUCGCUUCUAUAACACAAAUGUUUUUCUGACUUUUUUCUGUAAAAAUAAAAUCAAUAAAACAGGAAAUAAGAAGGAGGGACGAGAUGAGAAACUGCAGCAUCAGCAAAAGCCGUCAAACUAUGUACAAUAAAAAACACAUGAUAUCAGCACCAUCGUAAAGAGGACGUGGUGAACGAAAGGUUUCAAAGUUUUGAGAAAAAUAGAAAGGUAAGACUUUAAAUGUCGCCUGAAGCGGCGUUCUUAAGGUGUUUCAGGUCGUGCUUUGGCCAUCUUUACAAACAGACGGGAUAAAGUCAGCAGAGAAAAUGUUGAAAAUUUCAUAUUUGUUCAGACUUAAACAUACCAAUAAAGUAA